AGAAGAUCAUCUGCUUGUAUCGAUGCAAAUGAUAAAAGAGAAGAACAUGCCUACAGCAGGUCCAAACCCCCCUCUUGUAGGGAACUAUUUCAAGAAAGUGUAUUGGACUCUUUUGUUGAAAACAUCAGAAUAAAUGACAAAAACCAGCCAGAACCAGAUGAUAUAAGAGUAAGUGACGUUUUUAUAAUGCAAAGAGCAAGAUCAUUAAUAAACCAGGAAAUUAAAAAUGUAAGCACUAAAAGAAUGGGAGAACAAAGUCUGCUACUAACCAGGAAGAAAAUGGAGCAUUUAUCCGAAGAUUCAAGUAAAUUGUGCGAUUCCAUUAUAGAGGAAAUGAAAAACAGGUAUCAAUAUGAAUUACGAUAUACCAGGUAUCCUGUUCUGAGCAUUCCUAUUGAGCAUGUUGGAAAAAUACUUUUUUGUUUAAAAACAUUUUUCCAAGUAUCAAUUUAAAAAUUUCAAUCUUCAAAUUUUUCGAUUAUACUAUAAAAAAAUGAAGUGCUGUAAGUGUUGAAAUUUUUCAGAAAAAAAACCUUCCAUCACCAAGGGGAGAUUACUAUA